GUUUGCAAAAUCAAUUCUAUCCAAAUUCUCAUUUACAAACUGGCACACACUUCGUGUGAGAGAGAUCUCGUCGAAACCCUAAAACUCGCAACCAUCGCCGCCUCCAUCGCCACCGCCAUCACCACCACAUCCAUUCGUCUCCUUGCCGCCAUCGCCACUGCCACCGCCACCGCCACCACAUGCUUCGUUAAUCUCUUUUCCCGUUGUCUCCUCUGUCGACGCAUCGUCUGCUCUGGUCGCGACGCGAUUCGGCUUUUGUUACUUUUGCGAUUAUUCAUUGAUAUCCUUGGUUGUUGUCCUUGUUAACUCAGAAAGUGUUCAAUGAUAUCCUCAGAAAAGUUCAAGAAGAAGGAUAAUUCCAAGAAUUCAUUGUAUAUAGAGAAUCUGAUGGAGGAAUAAGUCACCAGCUUUGAUGAAGUGACACAAAAUUUUGAUUGAGAUAUUAUCUUUUGUCGUUCUCUCCUUUAUAAGAGAGCCUGAAUCGCCACCUCUGUUAGCAAGGGAAACAAGUAAAGUAAGUAAAAGGGGAUUUUAACUUGAAUAAUGUUGAGGAUGGAGUUUUAUCAUCCGCUUUUAUGGUUGGACUUUGUGUGGCUUCUUCAAUAUUUGCUUCCCUAGCAAAGAGGUAAGGUUUGAAGAAAAUCUUCUAGGGCUAGGGCUUUCAUAGUUUUAGAUGAGGUAAAAUGACAUUUUUUGCUUGAUUUUGACCAAUUUCUUACCGUUCUUGCAUCUUUUAAUUAUUCAUGGGAAAUUUUACUUUUAAGUUGAUGAUUUAAUUUUAAGUUGAAACAGAACGCUGCCUCUUAGAGAAGCUUCCAGAGUGUGCAGAGAAGGAGCAAAAUGAUUAUCCCAGUCCAUUGCUUCACCUGUGGAAAGAUGAUUUUCUCUUUUUCCUUGCAUUUCAACACACUAUUGUUCUCUCUUUUUCACGGUUUCAGGGUUUAUUUAAUAAGUCUUUGGAUAAUUGGUGCUCAAUUUUUGUUUAUAGGUUAUCGGAAACAAAUGGGGAUGCAUAUUUGGACCUUCUUCAGUCAAAUUACUCUGAAGGAGAUGCGCUGGAUGCUUUGGAGCUGGCUCGUUGUUGUUGUAGGCGUAUGCUUAUGAUGCAUGUUGACCUCAUUGAGAAGCUCCUGAAUUACAACAGUAAUGUGUCUCUUUCUAUAGUGUCAUUGUUUUCUAUUUCUUCUAUUCAUGCCUUGAUGAAAAACUAAAAGUUGAGCAUAAAUGAAAUAAAGCUUACACCUGAUGAGCUGUCUGAGUUGAUAGUGUCCAUUAAAGAUGGAGUCAUCAGUGGCAAGAUUGGCAAGGAGAUACUAUUUGAGCUAUUAUCCAAGGGAGGAACUGUUAAGGGAAUUAUAGAGGAAAAAGACUUGGUUCAGGUCCCAUGAGAAAAUGUCAGUGAAUAUGAUAGAUUACAUGGUUGAUGAAUAUAAUAUUGAUAUUGAUCCUGAACUCCUCAAGAAAGUCAAGUACAAAAGAUUGGAGCAUGAAGCAGAAGAAAAGGCACAAGCCUUGAAGGAGAUUAGAGGGACAGUGAAUCACAGGAAUCAUAUAGAUGGCAGUGUGAAAUUGAUUAGUACUUCAUUAUCUUGUUUAGUUGGGUUGGCUUAACUUUGAAGCUUAUAAUUGUGUAUUGAAUUUAGUUGGAUUAUCUUGUUUUGUGGUGAUUUUAUGAAAUUCUUGAACCGAAUUGGUGUUUAA